rnacentral:misc_RNA from 1 species
AAACUGAGGUGAUGACGUCCUUAAAGUACAUCCUUCGGCUUGACACGAUAAAUGCAUUUUUUCGGUCGUAUUGUUGAGAUUCUAGAGGAGAUAAGUAGUAUCUGGAAAACCCUUAAAAUCACACAGAGGGACCUGUGUAGAAGUUGUGUAAAGUUUUACGUGCCAAAAUAACAAACAACUGAUUGCAGAUUCUUUGGAAUCGUUCAACCAUAACAUCACCACGUCGUUAAUACAUUAAUAUUUCGUGGAGCUAAUAUCGGACAUUCAUCUUUUUUUUUUCAAUAUAUCGAUCUACUCGACAGACAUGGAAAAACUAGUGUGCGUGUUUCUACUUUCACUUUUCCUGUGCACCUCGUGUGAAACAUGUGAUGGGGAUUCAAGUCAAUGUGAUGGGGAUUCAAAAGAAGAAGGCUGUGGGUGUAAAGUUAACCGUGACUCUACUAAAUACUCAAGCAAUGAACAUAAUGAAAAGGCAGAUGAACAACAUGUAAACAUUCCAUCUGAUAUACCCCGAACAAAUGAGAUGUUGUUCAUAGAACGGGGAACUUUUACUAUGGGGACUGAUGAACCAGUUUUUCCAGUAGACGGGGAAGGUCCAGCAAGGAAAGUCACAGUGUAUGGAUUCUAUCUGGAUAAACAUGAAGUCAGUAAUGCCGAGUUUCAAAGAUUUGUAGCAGAAACAAAAUAUGUAACGGAGGCAGAAAGUUUUGGAAAUUCCUUUUGCUUGGAGAAUUAUGUCAGUGAAGAAGUUUUAAAAAAUGUCACUCAAUCGGUAGCUGCUGCCCCCUGGUGGGUCCCAAUAAACGGCGCUGACUGGAGGCACCCCAAUGGACCAGAUUCUUCCAUCAAAGACAUAAUGGAUCACCCUGUUGUACAUGUGUCGUGGAAUGAUGCUGUCAAAUACUGUGAGUGGGCGGGGAAACGACUGCCGACAGAAGCAGAGUUUGAGCGUGCUUGUAAAGGCAAUCUCAAAUCAAGGUCAGACAACUUCCCUCUUUAUAAAUACAAAAGAAAGAGGGAAAUAAUUAUGUAUUGUGUGUGGGGGGGGGGAAUGAUUGUAUUUUGCAUUUUAUUUUUAAUGUUUACAUUUUUUUUAAAUAUUGCCUCAACAUGCAGACUUUUCCCAUGGGGAAAUAAGGAAGAACCCAAAGGGAAACAUUGGAUGAAUAUCUGGCAUGGGAAAUUUCCCUCUGAGAACACAGCAGACGAUGGCUAUCAUACUACAGCCCCAGUGAGUGAUUUAUACAGUAAAACACGAUUAUAGCGAACACGCUUAUGAUGAAUUGAGGCUUACAGCGAAGUGAUUUUCAUUCCCUGUGACUUUAUUACAUGUUGUAAACUAGGCUUAUAACAAAGUAAAAUUUCCCGUCCCAGGCACUUCGUUAUAAGCUGUAUUAGAUUGUGAGAUGAAUAGUUUGCACAAUGUUUUGUCAUAUGUAAAUUAUUUCUUCAGUAGACUUUAAUAAUACAUUCACAACAAAACGACACAUAAGAAGUGUGGAUGCUCAAAGACAAACCGUGAUUACAGUAAAACACGCUUAUAACGAAAUGCCAGGGACUGACUAUUUUGCUUUGUUAUUAGCGUAAUUUGUUAUAUCUGUCAAGUUUACAACAUGAAAUAAAGUCACAGGGAAUGGAAAUCACUUCGCUGUAAGUGUCAAUUCAUUAAAAGCGUGUUCCCUAUAACCGUGUUUUACUGUACAUAGUUUAUUGCAUAAAACAAUCAUUUAUUGCUCAUCAAUCCAUUGAAUCUUAAACAUGUCCUGUACUCUGAUAAAUUGACAUGUGGUAUAAAAUAAUUUCAGUAAAUCACUCAAUUUAAGACCUCAAUUUGUAUGUUAAAGGCUUGAUACUUUAAGCAGAGUUUUAGAAAACUUGAAUUAUUGUUGGUGUAUGUGUAUAAGUCAUACAUUUAUUCAUGUUACAAAGAUCACAAAUCAUGAAUUCCAAUGCUGUGUGCUGCAAGCAAUCAAAUACAUGAAAAAAAAAUAAAAUUUAGGUUUAAAAAUACUAUAAAAAUGCUUGAUAUUGUAGUUAUGCUUGAAAUUUUAUGAAAUCAUAUUGCAAUUUACAGGUUACAGAAUUUCCAGAACAAAAUAUAUUUGGUGUUAAAAACAUCAUAGGAAAUGUUUGGGAGUGGACACAAGAUUGGUGGGAGACCAAGUUUACCCCCACCCCAAAGAAAAACCCUAAGGGGCCACGUUUUGGAACAGACAAAGUAAAGAAAGGAGGCUCUUAUAUGUGUCAUAAAAACUACUGCUAUCGCUAUAGAUGUGACGCUAGGAGUCAGAAUACACCGGACAGCUCGGCGGUCAAUUUAGGCUUCCGCUGCGCAAGUGACACACUUCCGUCAUAUUUAAAUGACAUUAACUUGGUCCAAGAAGAAGUUUUAUUAGAUGAGGAUAAUAUCGUCAAAGAAGAACUCUGACCCAAAUACUGUUAAUGAAUUAAGUGCAAUCCUGGACUCAAAUACACUGCCUCAUAAUGUAUUUGUUUUUAAUUUUAAUCAUCAUUUAGGUCGUAAUAAAAUCAUAAAACCU